AUUGAACGCUGGCGGCAGGCCUAACACAUGCAAGUCGAACGGUAACAGGAAACAGCUUGCUGUUUCGCUGACGAGUGGCGGACGGGUGAGUAAUGUCUGGGAAACUGCCUGAUGGAGGGGGAUAACUACUGGAAACGGUAGCUAAUACCGCAUAACGUCGCAAGACCAAAGAGGGGGACCUUCGGGCCUCUUGCCAUCGGAUGUGCCCAGAUGGGAUUAGCUAGUAGGUGGGGUAACGGCGCACCUAGGCGACGAUCCCUAGCUGGUCUGAGAGAGUGACCAGCCACACUGGAACGGGGACACGGUCCAGACUCCUACGGGAGGCAGCAGUGGGGAAUAUUGCACAAUGGGCGCAAGCCUGAUGCAGCCAUGUCGCGUGUAUGAAGAAGGCCUUCGGGUUGUAAAGUACUUUCAGCGGGGAGGAAGGGAGUAAAGUUAAUACCUUUGCUCAUUGACGUUACCCGCAGAAGAAGCACCGGCUAACUCCGUGCCAGCAGCCGCCGUAA
rnacentral:rRNA from 1 species